AGGGUUCGAUUCUGGCUCAGGACGAACGCUGGCGGUGCGCCUUAUGCAUGCAAGUCGAGCGAAGCUUUUUGGUAGUUUACUACUAGAAAUGACUGAGCGGCGAACGGGUGAGUAACGCGUGAGCAAUCUACCUUAGUUACUGGGAUAGCCCGAGGAAACUCGGAUUAAUACCAGAUAUUCUUAUUUUUUCACAUGAAGUUUUAAGGAAAGGUCAGCCGAACUAAGAUGAACUCGCGUUCUAUCAGCUAGUUGGUGGGGUAAAAGCCUACCAAGGCUACGACGGAUAGCUGGUCUGAGAGGACGAUCAGCCACACUGGGACUGAGACACGGCCCAGACUCCUACGGGAGGCUGCAGCAGGGAAUAUUGUGCAAUGAGCGAAAGCUUGACACAGCGACACCGCGUGUGGGAUGACGGUUCUAGGAUUGUAAACCACUUUCAGGAGGGAAGAAAAUGACGGUACCUCCACAAGAAGACCCGGCCAACUAUGUGCCAGCAGCCGCGGUAAUAC
rnacentral:rRNA from 1 species